GAUUAAUUGGAUUAUGAAGCUCAGGCUGCUUCAUUGGACCCUCAAAUUUACUGAUUGAAAUUGUUUCUCAGUUUUGUGUAUUUGAUGGGUCAAAGAUUGAAUGCUUCAAAAUUGAAUACUUGCUUAAAGAGUGUGGCUUUAAAUCAUUUUCUGCUCACACAUUUAGCAAAUAUAUUGAUUAUGCUCUUUUUGAUAUUGAGUUGUCAUUGAUAUUAAUUAGAGUUGUUUAUAUAGGUAAUAAAUAUAACAAUACUCUGCUUGUCUGUAUUUCAUUAGUGGUGGGUUAGCAUGAUUAUAGUUGUUGGGUUUGCUGUUUCACUGGGUUUUUGUUUAGUUGCUCUGUGAUUUUUCAAUAUGAGUUCUUUUCAGAUGUUUGCAUAUUGAUCUAAAGUUUGGUUUGUUUAUUCGAACUAAUAUGGUAGUCAAUCAUUCAGGGAGAAAUUAAUAAGAUCAUUUGAUUGUGUGUGGACCUCUAUUUGGUUAGUGGCCAAGUGAAGGAAUAGGAAAAAUGAAAUCUUGAUUAUGGAUUUUGAUUUAAUUCCGAUGAUAUGUAGUAGAGGUGAAUGGAAAAGAAAUUUAUUUGAAGUUUUUGUUCUUCGGUUUGUAAAUUCCAUGGUCUGCUUUCUGUCAUUAGCUUCAUGUUCACUUGGUAUUUUUUUCUGGGUUCAUUUUUCUUGAGAAACCCACAAGAUUUCGAAUUGUUGUCUUGAUCUUGCUUCACCUAAUGAACUGAGGGAGUGAAUAUAUGCUUCUGAUACAGUUUUCUGGUACAAUAGCAAGUGAGUUUCACUAUUUAGAAGUGAUGAAUGAUUAGUAUGCAAGUCUUUUUUUUUUAGCAGUAGUUUAUUGUAGCAACAAGAAAACUUGACUAAAAAUUUGCUCAAACAGUAAACGCGAAGCUUUGAAUUGAUUUCAAUGUAGUUAUAGUUACUUGAUUGAUUUUCCAAAUCAAAUCAUCAAGGUAAUUUAUUAAACUGCAAUUUUCAAAUCAAAGUUCAAUCAGCUUUGCAACUAAUUUUGACCAAUUACUAUGAGGAGAAGCAGAUGACUCUUCAACACGGACAAGGAAAGAUGAGUAUUGUAGCUAAUCCAGGAAGUUCAUAAUAGGAAGCUGCAAUACACAGUAAUCAUUUGUCCUUCUCCAACUGAAGCUUGCACCAGUGAAGCUACUUCUACAUCAAAAGAUGAUCAAAGCUGAACUACAGCAGAUCAAUGAUGAACCAAAGCAGAAGUCUGAGUGGAAGCAUCACAAGAUUGACAAAGACCACGGCUUUGCUGCACAAGCUGUUCAUUGACACAAGACCAGCAGAACCAACAAAGGAACAAAAGAAUUAAACCUUCAAACUUUCCAUCAUUCAUUCCAACCAUGUUUCCCUUCGUGAGUUUCCUCUCUAAACUAUUUCGUUUCUACGACUAAUAAAAAUUGACCUCUAAUAU